UACGUAGGGGGCAAGCGUUGUCCGGGAUUAUUGGGCGUAAAGAGCGCGUAGGCGGGCCGGUAAGUCGGUUGUGAAAGUCGGGGGCUCAACCCUCGGAUGCCGAUCGAUACUGCCGGGCUAGAGUCCGGAAGAGGCGAGUGGAAUUCCUGGUGUAGCGGUGAAAUGCGUAGAGAUGCGGAGGAACACCAGUGGCGAAAGCGACUUUCUGGUCCUUAACUGACGCUGAGGCGCGAAAUCAUGGGGA
rnacentral:rRNA from 1 species